rnacentral:rRNA from 1 species
GACGAACGCUGGCGGCGUGCCUAAUACAUGCAAGUAGAACGCUGAAGGAGGAGCUUGCUUCUCUGGAUGAGUUGCGAACGGGUGAGUAACGCGUAGGUAACCUGCCUGGUAGCGGGGGAUAACUAUUGGAAACGAUAGCUAAUACCGCAUAAGAGUAGAUGUUGCAUGACAUUUACUUAAAAGGUGCAAUUGCAUCACUACCAGAUGGACCUGCGUUGUAUUAGCUAGUUGGUGAGGUAACGGCUCACCAAGGCAACGAUACAUAGCCGACCUGAGAGGGGGAUCGGCCAAACUGGGACUGAGACACGGCCCAGACUCCUACGGGAGGCAGCAGUAGGGAAUCUUCGGCAAUGGACGGAAGUCUGACCGAGCAACGCCGCGUGAGUGAAGAAGGUUUUCGGAUCGUAAAGCUCUGUUGUAAGAGAAGAACGAGUGUGAGAGUGGAAAGUUCACACUGUGACGGUAUCUUACCAGAAAGGGACGGCUAACUACGUG